rnacentral:lncRNA from 1 species
CCGUGCAACAGCAUCCGAUGGGGGGAUAAGCCAUUGGUGGUGGAGGACAAGGUUCUGGAACCUUUGGUGGUGGUGGUGGUGGUGGUUCUUUUGGUUUCUCAGGUUCCUUAGGCUUUUCGGGUUCUUUCGGCUUUUCGGGUUGUUUCGGUUUCUCGGGUUCUUUGGGUUUUUCGGGUUCUUUCGGCUUUUCGGGUUGUUUAGGUUUCUCGGGUUCUUUGGGUUUUUCGGGUUCUUUUGGUUUUUCUGGUGCUUUAGGCUUUUCGGGUUCUUUUGGUUUUUCUGGUACUUUAGGCUUCUCAGGUUCUUUGGGUUUUUCAGGUUCUUUGGGCUUUUCGGGUUCUUUAGGCUUCUCAGGCUCCUUGGGUUUGGGAGGAGGAGGUGGAGGUUUGAUCUCAAUGCUCUUGAUUGAUCCAGCACCCUUGCAACAUAUCUUGUCCCUCAGCUUCUCAG